UCCGGGUCGGGGCAGGAGGAAGAGCGGCUGGUCUUCAUCACCGGCUGGAGCUCCUCUUUCUCCCACCAGCUGAAAACAGAAACAGGCCUUUCUGGGAUGUAGGUGAUCCGUAUGUGCUGACAGCGCUCCCUGUCCUUUGAACUGAGGAAAUCUGGGAGGUCGUUCACCUGCACAGAGGCAGAGAGACGGAAACGGGAGCCAAGCGUUUAUUUAUUCAGGGAGUUUCACUAACAGAGAUCGUCCAGUUGGUUAUUUCAGAUGGCCGCUUGUACUGAGUCCGGUUCUGGUUCUGCUGGAGGUUCUGUUAAAGGGGAGUUUUUCCUCUCCACUGUCGGAGAGAAUGCAAGUCAACGGUUCAAUGCAAUCUGCUGAGUUUAGAUAAACGUUUAAACUACUUUUCUGAUGACCAGGAUCAAUUGGAAUGUAUGGAUGAUUGAAUUGAAAUGAUUUUUUUUAAAGUGCUUCCAGACAUUUUUUGUGAAUCGGCGCUAAAUAAGUAAAACUGAAUUGAUUUAGACUUAAGCUUUAGAUGCACAAACAUGUUUCUGUUCAACUUCAUCCAAACAUUUUGUGCCAGGUCCAAUUUAACUUGAGAGAAAAACACAAACCAUGAUGCUGCCACCACCGUGCACACAGCAUGCCUUUUACAGGUUUUUGGCAGAAAUUUGCUCCUUUUUUUCUACCCUGUAUGGCCCUCAGACACCUUUGUAUUUGUUCCUGUUGUGAACAAUAUGAACUUGACUUAAAAGUUUUAAACUCACCAGCUCGAUGUCGCGCACGCGCUCGAGGCUCACGGCGGCGGUCAGCGCGCGUGGCGGGAACUCCGUCAGAAAAGAAGAAACCGGUCCAUUUCCCCGGCGGGCGGGAGAACAAGACAAACACCGACUUCAGCUGGCCGUGACCUUCCUGCCCUCAGAGAGUCACGUGAUCAACAACCGGAUGUUACUGCUGGCGGA